rnacentral:lncRNA from 1 species
GAGGGUGUGAGGUCGAUUCAUGGCCUAGUGGUUUUUUUACUUUUCAUGUGCAUUGAUAUAUGUGGUGGUUACAGUGGAAUAUUAUCUUGCCCUUCAUGAUGUGUAGUAAGCCGCUUACUCACAGAAUGGAUUGUCGCUCAACUAAUUAACAUGCUAAUUAAUUAAAGCAAUAUUUUCUGUGCCUCAUGUCAACCUAUUUCGAUUAUGUUAUUUGUAAAUCUCAGAAAUGAAUGGUUAUGCAUGUGCAGAAUAUCAUUGUAAUAAUGGAUGUCUUAAUGCACUACUUUGGACACUUAGAAUAAACCAGUUAAUGUGUAAGGUAGUUCUUACGAGGUAAACAAGUGAAAAUAAUCAUAAAGGAAAAAUGUUAUCCCUAUGAAGCAUACGCAGGCAUGAGCUAUUUUUCUUUGUGUGUGUUGAGUUAGUCUGAUCUCAGUUACUUAACUACUUCAUGUGUUCCAGAAAGUUUAUUCUGCUGAUUCUUUCAGGUGAUAUUGGAAACCAUUUAAGAGUUCCAUUUUGAUUAACCUGCAGGUUGGUGAUGGAACUACUACUGUAGUGCUUCUUGCUGCUGAAUUCCUGAAGGAAGCAAAACCUUUCAUUGAGGAUGGUGUCCAUUCACAGAAUCUCAUUCGAAGCUACAGGACAGCUUCAUAUUUGGUUGGUAUUAUUAUCUUUUUCCUACCUUUAUUUUUUAUUACAAAAGCUUGAGCUUACAACUAUAUGAAACAUGUAACAGGCAAUCGACAAAAUCAAAGAACUUGCUGUGAGCAUAGAAGGGAAAAGCCUGGAAGAAAAGAAAAGUUUGUUGGCAAAAUGUGCCGCUACCACACUCUCUUCAAAGCUGAUUGGUGGUGAGAAAGAGUUCUUUGCAUCGAUGGUUGUGGAUGCUGUCCUUGCUAUUGGCAAUGAUGAUAGACUUAAUCUAAUUGGGAUUAAAAAGGUAAUUUCUAUCAGUCAGAAAUUAAGCGGUUCGGUUUCCUCUGCUUCUUUUGUGAAAGUUGAUGUUAGUCAUAAGAAAUUGAGGUUGCUGCAAUUGUUAGCAAAACAAGCGACCUGUGGUAAAAAAGAAGUUAAAUUAUUCUUAUUGCUUUCCUAUAUUUUCUUCCUCGUUGGGAUAGAAUUAUAAUAUGGUAUUUUUUGGAUGCUGUACUUUAAUUUAUUGUGGCAAUAAUUUAUCAGAGUGAAUAUUGUUUCAGAGUUUUUUGUUUUUUAACUUAAUUAUCGAAUGCAUCGUGGUUUUCCAGAGGGAAUUUCUUAGCCAAAAUCCACCUUUAUGUUUUUCUUUUUCCUUUACUUUGUGCAUUUUCUUAACAAGGUUGAUGAACUAGCUGCCUCCUUUUGAAUGGUCUGGAUCUUGUUAAGACUUGUGACUUCAGAAUUCUGAGACUUUACAAUUCAAUUUUCAUUUUCAUUCUCCUUAAUAGGUUCCUGGGGGUAAUAUGAGAGAUUCAUUUCUCGUCAAUGGUGUUGCAUUCAAGAAAACAUUUUCUUAUGCUGGAUUUGAACAACAACCGAAAAAGUUCUUGAAUCCAAAAAUUCUUUUGUUGAACAUUGAACUGGAAUUGAAGUCAGAGAAAGAAAAUGCAGAAAUCAGGUUGGUUUAUUCGCCAUAGUUUUUGAUGAUUGUACAAUUUGUGCUUGUCCUUGUACUACAACCAUUUAUAAGCUUCUAUCGUUCAUUUGUAGAUUAUCAGACCCACUCCAGUAUCAGUCAAUUGUUGAUGCUGAAUGGAAUAUUAUCUAUGACAAGUUAGAUAAGUGUGUGCAAAGUGGGGCAAAGAUAGUUCUUUCUCGGUUGGCAAUUGGUGACCUUGCAACCCAGGUACCUUUUCUGGACUGUGCUAAAGUUGUCUUGUUCAAUGUGGUAUAUUUUUUGGCUUUUACUGCUAAGCAACCUAGUUACCUUAUAUACUCGUGAAAUCUCUAUUUUCAUAUAUACCCAUCUCUGAGUGUACAUUCUUACACAAAUCCUGACCUUCUGGGGAGUUAUCCAAUUCACAGAGGGAAAGUAUUUUUGUAUUAGGAAAAAGUUAUUUUUAAAGAGGAAGUUUAAGGAUGUAUAAAUGCAAGAAAUUAAGCUUUUGAAGUGUAGAUAGGAAGGUUCCGGAUUUAGAAGACUACACAUGUAAUUAGAUAAGUUCGUAGGCACAUACCUGUAAAUAUUGCUAAUUUUGCUUUUGCCACUUUAUAGUACUUUGCAGAUAGGGAUAUUUUCUGUGCUGGGCGUGUGACAGAAGAGGAUCUACAACGUGUUGCUGCUGCAACUGGUGGAACUGUGCAGACUUCUGUUAACAAUAUUAUUGAUGAGGUUGUAAUCAUGCAUUGUUCUUCUUUUUUUUUUUUUAAUGUGCUUCUUUGAAUGAUUGCGCUAGGUUAGUAGCAGUGCAAGAGGUUCUAAUUAGUAUGCUACAUUUUUAUACUACUUGAACUUAUCGUCAUUGGUUUCUGAUGGUCUUGUGUAUCAAAGGUUCUUGGCUCCUGUGAAGUUUUUGAGGAAAAACAAGUAGGCAAUGAAAGGUUUAAUAUAUUCAGCGGAUGCCCUUCUGGCCAGACAGCAACUAUAGUUCUUCGUGGUGGUGCAGAUCAGGUAUUUCUUUUACAAGCUUAUAGCUUGAUCAGGCUUCAUUGUUAUUAACACAGUUAAUACUUGUGCUAUUAACUUGCGGCAAAUAAUUGUUCAGUUUAUUGAGGAAGCUGAAAGAAGUCUGCACGAUGCCAUCAUGAUAGUGAGGAGAGCUUUAAAGAAUUCAACUGUUGUCCCUGGUGGUGGUGCUAUAGAUGUAUGUUUGCACGAACCCACAUGUUUGAUAGGAAUGUUAUAUUUUGUCAAAGCUGAUCUUUCCACUGUUCUGGUAGAUGGAGAUAAGUCGGUUUCUGAGGCUGCAUGCGAGGACCAUUGCUGGGAAGUCCCAACUGUUUAUAAAUUCGUACGCCAAAGCCCUCGAGGUAAACAUGCAGAACUUUUUGUCAGCAAAAUUACCAUGUUCUAUCCUCUGAUUUUGUAAUGCACAUAUAUGAUUAGCUUUUGCAAGCCAUAUGAAAUGUCCUUUGAGCUUACACUUUUCCGUCUGUUCAUUUAUAAAAUGUUCAUUGCUUGUUGAUAGUGUACUAGGCAGUAUCAACUAUCGCUUUUUGUGAUAUGUUAUAGCUGGGAUUGGUUGUGUGAUGCCGUAAUUUAUGUGUUAUUUGCUAUUUUGAUGUUUGUUUAUUCUUGUGCUUAUCUUCUUUGCAGGUCAUUCCACGGCAACUUUGUGACAAUGCUGGAUAUGAUGCAACAGAUGUACUGAACAAGCUCAGACAAAAACAUGCAUCUGGUUAGCUUCUUUCUGUUUUCGUAAAUACGCUGACACAGAAAAUGGUUUUUUUUCUUUGAUGACGCAUAGGAUGCAUGCCUACUGCAGGUGAAGGUGCAAACUAUGGGGUGGACAUUAAUACUGGUGGAAUAGCAGAUUCCUUUGCUAACUUUGUAUGGGAACCUGCAGUUGUUAAGGUAUGCAUUAUGAUGUUAUGUUUUCUUUCCCCCCUUUACUCUUCACUUUUCAGUAAUCUUACCUGGGUGAUAAUUAUGAAUGCCAAUUGCAGAUCAAUGCUAUAAAUGCUGCAACUGAAGCGGCAUGUCUUAUCCUGAGUGUGGAUGAGACAGUUAAGAACCCAAAGGUACCAUUUACCCUUCAGAUAUAGAACUUAGAUUCCAUGAACGUUCUCUCUCUUUUACUAAGUUCAUGGUUCUUUGAUAUCUCUCCGUGGGUAAAAUUAUAUAUUUACAUGGAAGAAUGAAAGUCUCAGUGCAUUUUGGCUCCUAAUCAGCUGGAAGUUCCUUAAUUGCAAUGUGGUCUUAUUUUCUGUUAUUUUCCAUAGAUUCAACAUGGCUAAUGUUUGUGAAUAUGAUUGGCUUCUGCUCUCUUUUCGAAUAAAUCAAUUCAUUGUUCUUGUUAUUUUUCCCUGUUCAACACUUUGGGGUAAUUCUGUUCGAGCUAUAUUUUAUGGUAACUCUCAUUUUUAUUAUGUUAAACCAGUCUGAGAGUGCACAAGGUGAAGCAGCUGCAAGUGCGAUGGCUGGUCGCGGCCGUGGUGGAGCGGCAUUUAGAGGCCGUGGCGGAAGAGGCAUGCGAAGACGCUGAAAUCCAUUCCCCCGAACACCGAUCUUUGUAUUACUUUAAAUUAUUUUUAGGUCACCAUGAGUUUUGAGAGGGUUGCUUUUUGCGAGUUUUCUCAUGUUUUUGCUUUCUACUUUCAUUUCUUCUGCUUUAUGGGACAUUCAUCUGAUCAGUGGUUUGGGUAUAGUCUUGUUUGAAGUAGAAACUGUUGUAGCACUAGUAGGUUUUUCUAUCUGCCACAGUACAGCCUGCGGGCUGGCAAGAAACACUGAAGACUCUAAUUUGGUUCGGUGAGGUUGCCGAGGACUUACACUGGGAUCGCUCAUCAUUGCUGUGCAUCGGCUUAAAAGUCCGGGAAUUAGAAGGGCCAGUUUAUAUGUUCUGUACGCCGAUUUUGUUUUUUCUGUGGUAUUAUUCUGGCUAAAAAAGGUUCUUCGUGCGCUCUUGAAUGAAACUUUCUUUGUUUUUUUUAUUUUAAUGAUUUUAGUCGGGUGAUUUUAAUCAUUUUAAUUGGGUUAGUUGCUAUUCGUUCCGUGUCUGGAUGUUAUUUUUCUAGAUUUGAUUGUCUCUGGAUGUUAUUUUUCUAGCCCAAAUCUUUAUAACCAAUGUGUUUAAAUUUAAUAUAAGGCUAAUAUUAGAGAUUUGGUGAGCAUUCAUUUAUACAGUAGGAUUGUUGUUGAAUUUCCUGGUGUAGAAAGAUGGCGUUUGUUAGUGAUUGUUAGCGGUAUGAGUGCUGCGACCCUCUUAACUGCGCUGUCUGAACUUUUUCUAAUUGCAGUUUUAUUUAUUUUCUCCCCCCCUGUUUCUGGUUCAGUUAUGUUUACAUGGAUUAAGAAUUUUGUUAAAAUUUCGACCACGGCUGCUAAGAUAACUCAUUUUGUUAGCUGGUGGAUUUAAUUAAAAUUUCAAUUCGUUCCAUAACCGUAUUUAAGAUAAGCAACUUUGAGAAUAUCGAAGGAAAAGGAAAAUAGAUUGCCUUCUAAAAUGGCUUAUCAAUCAUGGUUUCCUGUAUUUUUUUUUUUUUAACCAUUAUUAUGUUACGCAUUGAGAUAAUUGCUUAUAAUCGUGGUGAACUAUGUGUUCCUUAAUAAUAAUUAGACCCAUUAUUAGUCUCUUAAUCAUCUAAUGAUCUAAUUACCUAACAGAUAGAGAGCUCCCAAGAAUGGAUAUAAAUUCGUGUGCUAUAAUAAGCAGAAAAUUAAGGUAGUGUGGUAGAAUAGAAAGAUAUAAGGACUUAAACAAGGACGUAAAAUAAAGAAAGAAAAAAAAGUAGACAACUCUACUCAACACUACAUGCCUGCUAUAACGUCCUGUUUCUCAUAGCGGCACACUCAUCAAGAAGAUAAGCAGUUCAUACGAUUAGCUCCAAGCUAAAACGACGAGCUGUGAAAACUUCAUGGAACGGAACAACAAGGCCCUAAACAAACCCCCAUAUCCCUGUUCUACCCUAAAAUUACAAGGCUCUUGCAACUAGAAGCAUUUCAUGAAAAUGCUUCUCUUUUACCUUCCAUAGCUAUAUAGUGGCACAACAUUGGCACUCUCACGAGCACCCGUCCUUUGGCUGCACAUGACCUGACAGGAAGGAUACACACAAAACCAUCUACUUACAGUGACGAAAGGGUUCGAACCAGAUGGAAGCAUGGUUCAGUAAGCCAGUACCACUUCCGUAAGAUUCAAAUGCCGAUCAAAACCACCAAUACUCAUCACUGAGGAGCUCAAUAGUUGCUAAGGGUCAGAACUUACUUCUAUCUAUGAAGAAUGUAGCAGAGGGGAGUUAUGCUCAUUUGAGAACGGGGAGUGGCGAAUUGGCAUCCAAAUUGGGUCGCGGUAUGCAGUGACCAACUUAUCAAAGAACUCUCCCAUGGUUGGAUCAUUCUGAUCUGCUCUGUCUUUCUUUAUCAAUGUCUGCAGAGGAAAUAACCCAAUCAGAUAAUGGGUUAACGGCAGCCUAGUGACCAACACAUAAACAGGAGUCCAAAUCAGAUUUAGAUAGGUGGUUAUCAUAUAUGUAAAAUUUAAGUACCUCGGCAGAAUAAGCUUCGAAAAUAGGCAGAAAGCGUUUUCUGCAAUAUUCAUUAAACAGGAGCGUAAGCACGGGAAGUGGUAGAAUCAAGCUUGACGCGAGAGGAACCUUUUUAAGCCCGAAUAUUCCGAUAGCAACUAGGUGCAUAAGUAUAAGAGAAAAUAUUGUGGUAUUGUGCACGAUGGGCCAAAAUCUUCCACCAGUAUCAUACUUGGGUGAGUAGACAUUGAAAAGCUGCAUAAAAUUUUCAACAAAUAGUCAUUUUUAAUUCAAAAUAAGUCAUAGAAUAAUAUAGACGAAUAGCCAUUUUUAAUUCAAAAUAGUUUAACAACAAGCAAGUAAAGAAAUAGUAAGAAAUGUGCAAAUACAUCCCCAUCACAUUACAGACUUCUCUUUUCUUUUUGAUUGAUGAACUUCGUUAACCAUGUAACUUCUAUCACUUUUAUUACAAAUUCAGUAUUUGCUCAUACUCUGUACCGUUUGGAUCGGGGAUAAGGGGAGGGAUAACCCCUUAUCCCCCUUCGAGAAUAGUAGUUCUCGGGUACCUGGUAUAACUAUCCCCACCAACACAUUCAUUUUCUAUAUAUAACUACUCACUAUUUUUCUUAUUCCAUAUUAUCUAUCCAAACGCUAUUUUUCUUAUCCCGGAAACAACCCAAUUUUCAUCAAACGCUAUUUUUCUUAUCCCCAUACUUGUACCUAUCCUGUAAUAGCUAGUUCUUGCUUAUACCCGAACCAAACGCUAUUUUUCUAGAUUCAUCACACGGCCUAUAUUAUUAACUCUCAGAUUCAGAAUUCCAAUUACAUGCAGACAAACUGCUAGGAUUCCUGAAGGCAAGAAAUGGGGAGGGAUUGGACGAGAUUUUGGUGCAAGUCCCAGUUGGAAGGAUUGAGGGUAUGGGUGUUGAGGGCCAAUCUUCCAAUUCUCAAAUAUGAGGGGAAGAAAGAAAGGAAUAUCCAAUAGCAUGUAACCCACCUAAAAUGGCUCUGGCAGUAUAGAUCUGCAAUCUAACCUGUUGUUCAUAAUGAUAAGGAUGCUUCAAGGUAAACUGGGCUCAUGCCUAGACACCAGGAACACCAGCAUGCUUGCAUACAGAGAAUUUUCAAUAAAAUAGUAGUAGAUCAUCUUCAUUGAAAUGAAUAGCACAAUUCAGGCAUGAGUCAUUAGGAUACUCAAAUGCCACUAACAUGAAUCAACUUAAAUGGAGCAUAAAAUUAAAGUUUCUGUAACUUGCAUAUUAUCAGAAGAUUCUCCUAUUUCUCAUGAAAAAAAAGGAAAAGGAAAAUGAAUAAUUAUGCUAAUCUCGUCUUUUUAAUAAGGUGUAGUAUUAAAACAUGAAACAGAAUGAAGGGGGGGGAAAAUGUAUAAUAGGGAAUAGGGGGAGGAGAAAAUAGAAUAUUCUACUUACCUGAUUGCGAUAGAUGAUGUAUCCAAUGCAGAAGAAGACCAGUAUAAAUGGCAGAAUAAGUGGAGCUAAAAUAAAGUAUGUGAGACCAAGCAGCCCAAAUAAGAGAAUCCUAGGUAUUUCACUGUGGUAAGAGAUAGAUGGUAUCUGAAAUUCAUCAUCCUCAUCACUCUUACAUGAACAAUGCUUCCCUAUCAAAUUACAAAUAAGAGCCAUAGUUCGAGUGAGCUCUGAAGAUAAGCUAGUCCAUGAUGUCACCACAUACGCAAUGAAAAAGGAGGCCUGAAAAAUUAAAAACUCUUUUAUUGACAUGGAUAUAAGAAGUAGAUCAAGAUGCAAAUAUAAAAUGCCUCAAGGUCCUGAUAAUUAGCCACCUAAUAACAGCGUUACAAAAUGCUUAAAGUGAAUAUACGAUGCCUCAAGGAGCAAUUAGCCCGAGCAUGAUAUUACAUAGUAGUCAUGGCAAAAUAAUGCAUUUCCGCAAAGCAAAAUAAUACAGCACCUGUUAAAAAAGAGAUAAAUGAUCUUACCUGUGCUGGUACAACAACAGCUAGUCUUACGGGAAUCUCCUUCGGAUCAAGAAUUAUCUGAAGUAGACUGGUAGCUGAUCCUGUUAGAACAUUUGCAAAGAAGAUGCUCCAUAUAACAAACCAGAGCAUUUUGUCGCACGCACUUUUCUCAAUCUGACUAGUAGCUAUAUAUCCUUGCAUGGUGGAAAAAAGCUUCAUGAUUGGAGGCACAUAAGAGGAAAGAACGUGAAGAAUGAGACUGGGAAGAUACCCAGUAAUUAUUUGACUCACAACAGUUCUGCAAAUAUUAUAAUUUAUACAUCAGUAAAUUUUGCGGUGGUUCAACUUCAGUUUGGGUGUAUUAUUCACCUAAAAGCAGGGGAAAAAAAGACAGAUGGCAUGCUAUGCACAUUCAAACUAAUUAUCUAAGAUUAAGACAUGCUUUUCAGCUUCUACAGUGGAGCAUAUAUAUAAGAAUUAACACGGUUUCGCUAAGAUCAGGCACAUUGAUUUAUUAAUGAAGACAUAUAUAGAGCAUAUAGUAACUUCAAAUACGUACAUCUUCAGUAUGUCCUUAAGGAAGGGCAGCCAUGUCUCUAGCUGUUCCAAAUAAGUAAGCCCUUGAACAAAGGCAGCAACUAAGAGGAAAAUAAUAAUUAGGAAUAUAGAUGCCACAAAGACCACCAGCUUAGAAAUCCAUCUUUGCAUGAAUGACGUAGAAAAGAAAGGCCAGUAAACAUCAUUUGGUUCAGGGGCUUCCUCUGUUACCCAUUCUAUAGGAUUGUCCGAUUGUUGAAUUUUAAGAGCAGUUGCAGCACCAUACCUAGAUUUGAAGCAAACAAAGGCUGCUGGAAUUUCCUACAGUGUGAGUGCAAGACUUAUCAGUAAAACAGAUCACAAGAGCUGCAACAAUAAACUCUGAACAGAAAAUUCUCUAAUAUUCAUGUUGACGAGAUCAAAAUCCACGCAAUACACAAUACAUAUAUGAUAAUGCAUACAUGGUACUUCCUAAAGUCAACAAAACUCGGUGAGACUCUAGUUAUAUGUAUAUAUAUAAAGUGGAAACUACAGCCUCCCCCCAUGUGCCAUGUAGCAAGCUCAAAGUCAAAGACAAAGCAUCUCUAAUAAUGGGUUUAAGGAGUGUACAUAUUACCUUCCCAGACCCUACAAUUCCAAGAGGAGCCUUGUAAAAUGGGUGACACUUUAACAUUUUAUCAUCGAGCCAUGAAAUCUACAGCUUACAAUUAGUAGAAGAAACACUCUCUUUUAUCAGUAAAACAAAGGCUCCAAUUUAUCGCCACAUAUAAAAAUUUAUUUGCAAUUUAAAUAUAACAAAACCUGCAUUAACAUUUCUUUUUCAAUUUUCACAGAACUUCUGGAAAGUCAAAAUGAUGAGUUAUGCCUGUAGAAUAAGAGAACCAGAGAACCGGUAUGUUGAUGAAUAUAUUUAGAAUAAGUAAAUAACUUGUAAAAUCAGCAGUAAUAAAAAUUCAACUUCAGCAUAAUGAUGAAUAUUUUUGUUUUGCAAUCAAUAGAAUCUCCCAAUUUACUGGAUCAUCAGAAAAAUCUGAAACAGACUAGAAAUCCAAACUCACACUGGUGAUCUCACCAAAAAGGGUAAUAGUUCUACAUUAGAAGUCUAAGACAGAGAAGAUAAAGGAGACAAUAAAAAUUGAGAAUACUCUGUCAUCCAUGAAAUAUAUCGAUAACGUAACAAUUUAAGAGUACCUAUCUAGUAUCCACUAAUACGAAAGGUAGAUACAAAAUCAAGAAAAACAAUAUGCACCUUAUGUUCAGAGAAAAUUCAUAUUUCACCAAUGAAAGAACAUAUUCAGCAAUAUCAGGUCAUCAUUUGCAAUAGAUAGGAAGCAAAAUGAAUGCACCUCUUUUGUCACAGAUAUAUCUGACUGUUCUACUCUCACAUUUUCUUCAAGAUCUUCCAAUUUCUUCUCAUAACUGCCCAAAAGAUCUUUUUUUUUGGCAAACAAUCCAAGAAUGCCGCCAUUUCUGUGGUUUUCAGGAGUACGUGGACUGGAUUUCAAGUCAGUCAGUCUUCUAUAAAGAUUCUCGGAAUCAGUCUGGAUAAGAAUUGGCAAAGCCAUCGGUAUCAGAUGUUAAAGUCAGAUACAUAAUUGAAUGAUAAAAGACAUGGAGUAUCAUGAAAAGCUCAAAAUUUUACUGUUAAAGGAUGACAUCUUUUAGAAUAAUUUGCGCCACAUGCAAACAAACAAAAAAUUUCAUGACAUUCUCAGAUACUCUUACGAUAAAGGACAACCUAAGCAUCAACUCAACUUGCAGUGUGAUAAUUCGAUAUUGAAGCACUUUAUGCAAAAGGUAGAAUGUUUUCAAUGUGUGGAUCUAAUGGAAAGAUCUUUUUCUCCAAUAAUAGAUGAGCAUAAAACACUGACCAAGCAAACAAGCGUCAAUUCAUAAAAAGAAAUACAACUUAGUAUGUUCCGAUUUCAACCCCAAGUUCUCUAUUUCAAGAUGCUCUUCCGCUUUGAUGUUCAUCUCUGAUGAGAAUUGGGUGCAAGUGGCAUACAAAGUAUUCUCACAAUUUCCUCUUUUUUUUGUCCCAUUAAUUUCUUUACAUAAAAGAGAUUAACCUUGUAAUGGCCAUAGACAUAUUUUGGGUUUUAGAUACAUAGAAGAAUAAUUUCCAUACUGAUGGCUGAGAGUGACCGCCAGAACAAAAGUUCAAGUCUUGGUUCUGAUGGGUUCAGAAAAUUUUAAGAAACUUUUCAUGAUUGAUACUUUGACUUGAAAAUUUUUAAAGAAAAAAGGCUAACCUGUAUAAUGAUUAUCAGUCGAUAUGGAUCCAAUCAUACAGAGGAUACAAAUAUAUAGAAAAUUAAUUUAAAUCCUUACGAUGAGGCGUCGAAGUUUGCUUGUUUGAUGAACCACAGUGUGGCACAAGUAUGUAGAAGGAUGGUACUCCAUGAAGAAACUCUCAACAGUAUCACUGAUAGAACUUCCAUCACGCAAUGGUAUACCACGGACAAGAAUGGCGAAGUGAUGCGGUAGCGGUUUGGAUGCAAUGAAGUGGGCGAUCCUCUUACUAGAUAGAUACUUGUAUUCCUGCAGAAGGGAAAAAUUUAGACACUAAUAUCUAAGUAUUGGCAGAAAGAAACUAAAAGAGUUGUGUGUGUCACUACUAGAAUACUAGAAAUAGACAAAAGCACCAAAGACAUUUGUUGAAUGGACUAUCUUCUGAAGAUAUAUGCAUCGAAAGGACAGAUCCUUAAAAAAUGGAUAGCCAACUUCAGUAAAUAAAAUUGGCAGUGACUUGAUUGGAAACAUCAACAGAUACAUAACUACCGUGGGGGAAAAAAAAGAGAGAGAUACAUGUAUCUUCUGAAGAAUCAAGUAAAGACUCGCCACCAAAAGAAAAAGGAAGCAACAAUUAAAUUUACUUACAGAAUACAGUAGAUAGCACACUAUUACGGUGAUAAGAUAUGCAGCAGAGAAGUGAAACCAUAACCUGUCAAUGAUAAUAAUACAAGACUAAUAAGCCGAAUAUAGGAGAUAGUAAGUGAUGUUUUUAAGCUAUACCAGGCUAUGAUUAGAGAUCACAUCAAUUAACAGGUAACAGAGAAUCAAUCAAGAAACCUACACAACAUUCCCAACAUUAAGGGAUUAUGUUGAUCAACAAGUCAAUGCAAUAGCUAAAGCAAACAGGAUAUUCCCAGAAUCUUAGGCGCACGAAAACACAUCUGUAACUUAUGAUCAUCUGAACAAAAUUGAAGUCAAGACUUUUGCAACUAGUAACAUAAUUCUUUAGGGGAUCCAAAAUCGAAACGACAUUCAAGUUUGCCUCUAAACAGAUCCCAGCAGUUUUCGGUGAAGUUCCUAAAUCAUCUAGAAUGUCGACACCCUAAGCUAGUAUUUGGAAUUAAACAGCUAAUCAUGAUAAAUCACAUUCUCCCGCAUAGAAGUUAUCAUCAGCUUCACAUGGUAUUCGCCAAUAUGGAAAAGCAUAAAUUAGUAAGCACAAUUUACCUGUUCGAACCAUCCUUCACAUUUGAAAUGGUAAACAAAUCCAGCGAUUUGUUCGGGAUAUCGGAGAAGUCAAUGUCGCGCAGCUGAUCCCCCAGAUAAUUAACCGGAAGAAGAAUAAAUAUUCCUACAACCGCGGCAACAGAGAACACUCGCAAACUGCAUCAAAAUUUCACAAGAAAAAUAAUAAUAAAACUCAUAUAAAAAAUCAAGUUCCGCGUAGGGUUUCUGCGAAAUCACUAUCCAUCUUAAAUUACGAAUUGCUAAGCAAAGUAAAGAUCAAAAGGAAUAGAAACAGAUAUCCCCAGAGAAUGCUCAGAUAAGAACAAAUCCAGCUAGGAUUUCUACAAAUCUGUAUCUAUAGCGAAUCUGAGAAAGAAACAAAAGACUCAGAGAGAGAGAGAGAGAGAGAGAGAGAGAGAGAGAGAGAGAGAGAGAGAGAGAUUUAGGACCUAAAGAUGAAGAUCCUCAUGAAGACGACGCCAUCGAGGCCGGAGGCUCCGAGGAGGUCGUCCUCGGAGGGAUCCCAUGCGCGGCGGACCCAACCGGUUGAGGGGAGGAGGUUCUCGAUGUUGAACUGGCUCGGCUGGCGCGCCCUCCCAUCGGCGACGAGCCGCGGCGCGUACACCUCGAGGUUCCCCCGCUGCUUCCGGAGGACGGAGUAGAGCGCGCAGAGGAGGACGGUGAGGCCGAGGUUGAUCCCCACCGACGUCGCCAAAGCCGACACGAUCAUCGCAACUCAAGCUCCUCCUCCUCCUCUUCUUCUUCUCGCUUCGAAGGUCGGAGAGGGGAUAUCGAUCGGAGGAAGCAGGAUCGAUCGAGAGCUUCCUCCUCCUCCUCUUCUUUCGAGCUCGAAUCAAAGAACUCGAAGAUCGGAGUGGUGAUCGGACGAAGAGGGAUCGCUCGAGCUCUUCUUCUUCUUCUUCUUCUUCUUCUUUCUCGUCGUCGUCGUCUUCUUCUUCUUCUUUCGAUCUCGGAGGGGCGACGAUCGUAGGAGGAAGAAGACGAAAGAGGGAAAAGGGCGUGCGAUGGGGGGAAGGGAUCGCGCGCUCGAGGAGGAGAGUACGUGGGAGAAGAGUGGGAGUGAGAGAGGGGCGGGUUCCGAUUAGUAAACAAGUUUUUGUGUGCGAUCGCCUAGGGUGGUGACGUGCACGUGCCAACAAAAACGGCCGCGCCCAAAACACGUGGAAAUUAUUCACGAACACGGUUUACCACGUCAUCUGUGGACCAACGAAUGCGAAUGUACUAUUUUGUGAUAAGUGACUAUAAAUUUAGGGAAAACUUCAAAAACCCUCUUGUGGUUUCGUAGUUUCUCACUUUGCCCCUCUGUGAUUUAAAGUGUAUCAAUUUGUUCCUCUGUGGUUUCGUUUUUAUUUUUUCGGUGAUUUUUUCGUUAAUAUUUCGUUAAAUUAUAUACAAAAAAGUUUAGAUACCCAUCUAUAUUUAUCAAAUAUUCACUUUAGUACCCUUUAAUUUUAACUUUAUUACUAAUUUAAGAAAAAAAUAAUAAAAUUGAUAAGAAAAAGAGAAAAACAAAAUCACAGGAGGGCAAAUUAAUACAUUUUAAAUCACAGGGAGGCAAAGUGAGAAAUUAUGAAACCACAGGGAGGUUUUUUUGAAGUUUUUCCAUAAAUUUAUAUUAUUUUUUCAAAAUAAAGCGAAGAAAACACCAAGCUCUAUUCGACUAGAACUUUGGAUAGCAGUUUAUGAUCUAAGAAUCGAUUUUUGGACACAGUAAAGAUAUAAUUAGAUAAGAUAAUUUUUUUUAUAGACAAUGAAUUACAGAUCGGAUUAAAAAGCUGUUUAUGCUUGCUGAGUUCUGUAGAACUGGUCCAGGGAAGAUCAUUACUGGAGUUUUUGACUCUGAGAACGUGGAGGUUUCCAGAAACAACAGCAAUUGAUGUGUUUCUUUGAAUAAAUAAAGAAAUAAGAAACAAUAAUAAAUAAACAAAUAAAUAAAGCCAGUUAUUAAUCCACAGUGUCUCGAAAAAGCAGGGGUGUUGUGUGAGAGCCACGUUGGGGAGGAUGGUAUAAGAUGGUCGGUGAGGUGUUAGCCUUGGCUCUGAGUGGGUGGGGAUGUGGCGCAAUCUCAAGCCCACGGAAUGAUUAAAUUAUGUGCAUUGUGCAAAUUUAUUAUUUCUUGCAAUGCUUGCAAUUGACUACGUGUAGUAUGCAUUUAAUAUUUUUUUUCCGGAAUUUGUUCUUUUUGACUCCGCCUCUAUUUGCUAUUGCGGGUAAGCUAAGUUGCUUAUAAAAUUCAAUUACAAAAUAUUUCGCUUAUUUUUUAUGUAAUAUUAUGCUACAUAAUAUAUCACAAUAAAUUAAUUAUAAUAUAUUUUUUAUAACUUAACUGAAAAUUAAGAAAAAUUUUAUAUUCUUUCGUUUUAAUUUUGUUUGACAAGAUUUAUGGGCUGAAUAAUAAAUAUAAUACAUUCAAACGAGCCAAUGCUUUAUUGGCCUAUCAACUGUUAUAAAAAUUUGUAAAUGGAUACAAUAUUUUUUCUUAGCUAAUUCCUAUUGAUGGUUUUGCCUUGAUUGUGAAUUGUAAACAAGUUGCUUGACAUAAUUUUACGCACCAUGAUGAACACAACUGCAAGUCCACAACAGAAUUUUAUAUAAAGAUAAGCAAUUCCCACUAAUAGUCUCGCAAUCAGAAUAAAAAUAAAGUUUGCAGUGCGUCUUAUUAAGAAGGUUACAAACAAUCACAUAUAUAGCAUUUCUAAAUUACAUGAAAAACGAAAUCUUAUGCAAACAAUCAAAGAAACUAUAAUUAUAACAAAAUAAAAAGAAUAAUAUCAACCAUCUUCACUGGGCUAAAAUUAAGAAGCCCAUUAGAGUAACUUCUUUUCCUGGAUUCACCAAAUCACUCUCUAUCAACACAAAUUUGCUUAAAAUUCAUAAUUAAUACACCUCACGGUUAGACAAAGAUCAUCUUCUGAUCAGUAUAUUUGUUCAAGUGAUAUAGUAGUUUUUGUGUCGGCCGUGAGGAAUAUCUUAUCAAAGACCUUUCACCUCCCCUGGACCACCGGCGACGGAACUGUGGUUCCAGAAUCGCCGCUGACGAAGGUGGUACCUGCGGCGGCUCCGCCGAUCUCGGCAUUACGAUGACCACUUAAGCUCGUCAUCGGAAUCUCCUUCGCAUUGCUCUCCGACGGCUCACUUCCGGAGGACGCCGCCAUCGCCUCUUCUUUCUCCUGCAGCUGCAGCGCGCACUCGAGUUUCCACAGCACGUCCCCCAUCGACGGCCGAUCGACACCGUAGUCGGCGAGGCACUUCUCCGCCGCCUCGACGUACUUGCUCAGCGACACCGGCUUUAUCGCUCCCGCGAUCUGCGGGUCGAUGAUCUUGUCGAGCUGGCCCUUCCGGUGCCACUGCAGCGCCCAGUCGGCGAGGUUCACCUGCUCCCGCGGCAGCGCCGGGUUGAUCGCGGGCCUCGUGCAGAGCACCUCGAAAAGCACCACUCCAAACGAGUACACGUCCGACUUCUCCGUCAGCUGCUGCCGCCGAAAGUAUUCGGGGUCGAGGUACCCGAAGCUGCCCUUGACGGCGGUGCUCACGUGGGUGUGUUCGAGAGUAGGCGCCGCCUUCGAGAGGCCGAAGUCAGCGACUUUGGCCACCAAAUUGUCGUCGAGGAGGAUGUUGGUCGUCUUCACGUCGCGGUGGAUGAUCCCCUGCGCCGCGCCGGUGUGGAGGUAAUGCAGCCCCUUCGCCGACCCGAUGCAGAUCUCCAGCCGCUGCUUCCACGAAAGCGGGUGCUGGUCGGCGCCGUAGAGGUGGUCGCGGAGCGGCCCGUUGGCCAUGUACUCGUACACCAAGAUCAUCUCGCUGUUCUCGUCGCAGCACCCGAUAAGCGACACGAGGUGGCGGUGGCGGAGCUUCGACAGCAUCUGGAUCUCCGUGAGGAACUCGUUGAUCCCUUGCUGCGACGACGGGUUCCCUCUUUUGAUCGCCAAUUUGGUCCCGUCGUCGAGCAUGCCGAGGUAGACCUUCCCGAAGCCGCCGACGCCAAUCACGGCCUUCUCGUCGAAGUUCUUGGUGGCCUUCUGCAUCUCGGCGAAGGUGAAGUAGCGACCGACACCGUACGUGCUCGACGCGAAGAGCCCGGAGAAGCCGCUCUUGCUCCGCGACACUGCAGAACCAAACCGGCUCCUAGAGCAGCUUCUCUUGCUGUACCCACUGAGAAAACUUGAUUGGCUGGCGUUGAUCGGGAGAAGCCAAGACGUGAAGCUGUUGUUGCUCUUCUGCUGGUAGCCGUGCGGCCGGCAUCUCCAGCGGCAGAACGCGACGACCGCGACCGCCAUGGCGAUCACCGCCAUCGCGAGCCCGACGCCCGAUAAAAUCAUCUUCCCGACGCUCGCUGUAGCCCCUGGAAUUUUACCAUUGACCGAGUAGAGGCCGUCGAGGCUGCCGGCGCCGUUGCUCAUCUUCAUCACCUCGAUGCCGUUGAGAAUCGCAUUCGGGUUGCCGGAAUCCGAACCGGGGGACGGCCCCACCUGGACCAUAAUGGUGGAGUUGACGAUCGCCGACGAGUCGAGCACGAAGUCCGUAUAGUAGGCCACGGCGAGGCCCAUCGUCAAGCUCGAGAGGUCGAGGUUCGCGACGCCCGUUAGGCCAUUAAGGUACACGUUGAAGUAGAGGCUGUUCAGUGUUUUGCUCACGAUAUCGCAGAAAUGGAGCCGGACGAGGUAGGAGAACCCGGGCUCCGCCGCCAUCUCCCACGUUAUGUUAAAAUUGGCGGCGGUGGUGUUCGACUGCGCCAUCUGCUGCGCCGUCGCGUAGACCAUGGCCGGCGCGGUGAGCGGCGUGAGCGAGCUGUCGUCGGGGUAUUUUAUCGUGCCGGGCGGCACGCGGGCGUCUUCGGCGGCAGCCGCCAGAGUCAAGAACGCGGCGUCCGGAAUCCACGUUCUCGCCAGCGUGUCGUUGAGCGGCACGAUCAGCGGCCCGCCGACGUUCAGCCGGUACAUCACCUGGAGGGCGUUGUUCGAAACGUCGACAUUUCCGCGUCCAGGAGAUGCCGCCAAGCCGGUGGUAGUGUUCGGGAGGAGAUUCGGGGGGGCCGAGACGACCUCGACAGCGUUGACGAAUGCGUUGGAGCCCUUCUUCGGGUCGAAGAAGAGGUUCAAGCUGCUUCCUUCUACCGUCACUAGAUAUUCUUUCAGGACGGGGGACGGGGCGGCGGAGGUUUGGAACGAGAAGUCGUGGAGGAGGACGAAGUCGUCGGUGGUGACUGAGAAAACAGCGGAAGAGAGGUUGUAGUUGGGAUUCUGAAACGGAAAGAAAUGGAGCCGGAUCCAAUGGCGACCGGGCUGCGCGAUGAAGAAGCUGUAGGUGGACCGGUCGGAGAAGACGCGGGCGGUGAGGUAGAUCGGGGGGAGCGGGGGGGAGGCGGCGGCAGUAGUAGGGGGUUUGUCGGCGGCGAUUUUGACGUCGACGGGGGUGGAGAGGAAGGAGGAGGAGUCGGGGUCGGACCGGAAAGUGCGGCCGUCGUCGAGCUGCGUGUUCGAGGGUGCACCGCAGUCGAGGAGGUAGUUGUCGCGGGGAUCGAAUUUUUGCAUCGGUGGCGGGACGGCGCGAAUGGUGGCGGUGGUGGUGAGGAUGAGUAUGAGGAGGAGGAGGGAGAAGAGUGGUGGUGAUCUCCUCAUGGUGUGUGUGUGAAUAAGGGAGAAGGGAGGAGGAAUAGUUAGUUAGUUAGUAGUAGCGCCUCCUCAUCUCGUAGGAGAGGGGAUGGAGAGGAGAGUAAACGACUCCGAGCCUUUUUUUUUUUUUUUUUUUUUUUUGGAGGGAUUUGAUUUUGUUGAGAUAGAAAAUUUUUUAAAAAAAUCUAAAAAAUUUAAACAAAAAAUAGAAAAAGAAAAAUUGAGGAUUCAAAUUUGUGGGUUGGAGGCACGUAAGGAGGGGAUCAAAACUUAGCAUUAAGUAAAUAAUAUAAACUAUAUAUAUAUAUAUAUAUAUAUAUAUAUAUAUUGGGCGAAGAAUCCAAACUACUAAUUUCUUGACCAAAUCUAAAAAAAAGAAAAAAAAAAACUUGGACUGUAGACGUGGGGGCCAUAUUUGGGAUGGACCAAAAGCAAAAGUUUGACCAGCUUUAAUGGGCCUGUGGGAAGAAAUUAUUACCUGCUCCUGGUGUAUACGUUGUAAUUUAUGCACCACCGCCAAAUUUUAAUGAUCAAAAAAUAAAUGCAACGGCCAUUAUCUAAAUAGCCUAUACAUAUAAAAAAAAAAAACUUAAUUUUUCAUGUAUAUAAAUUUCUUUUAAUAUUAUAGAAUAUAUUUAAUAAAUUGCAUUUUAAUUUAUAGACUUUUAUCAUAAUUCUUAAUAAAUGUAGUGUAUGAGAUGUAUUUAUACAUCGGGUACAGGUGAUAACUAAUGCGAGGUUGCCCACAAAGGCAAUCUCUCCUAUAAGGAUGGCCUAUAAUAACCAGUUGGACCGGUUUUAAAUGGUUACAGCUAAUACCUACGUGCCUUUUUAAAUUCAAAAAAUGUAACGUAUGCUGGCCCAGAAAAUGAGUAUUCUUAAUUAUGAGGGGCCUAAUCAAAUAUUGCACCUCAUAAGACCAUGAAAUAUCCCCUCUAAUACUGUUAACUUAAGCUCCUUAACUCAAAAUCUUGAGUCCACCAAAUUGUUUAGUGGCCCAGUUGAUAAUUUAAAUAUCUUUCUACACAGAAGAAAAAAAAAUGUAGUUACUCACGAAUUUGAUUUUGGCCUGUUUUACAAACUUCUCGAUCCAUCAGAAGUUGUCUUAAUCAUCAAUAUGUUCUUCUUCUAGUGAAAUUAGUCUCUCUUGUUACGAAUCGGCUAUCAGAGUCGACCGCAGCAUACCGGUCAAAUUUAAGCUCCAAUAAAUAUCGUGUUAAUUAAUCACUAUUCUUGGAUUCAAUAGAAAAAUAAAAAAAGAACCACCGUUUUCUUGCGGAUCUUAAAUUUACUGCCAUGGCCUUAAAGUACGGCAGAGAAAGUACUUGUUCACAAAUUUUCCCUAAUGAGACCACACCGGGCCGUAUUCUUAUGGGACAAUUAAUUUCAUUGGGUUAAAAAAGGAGUCACUUAGGCCUGAAUAUCUAGAUCUUCUUUUCUAGUCCGUUCGCGCGCACGACCGUUCCUAACGUAAAUAACAAAAGACCAGAUAAUUAGUACUAAAGGUUUUAGGUUUGAAAUCUAGUUAUUUUAUCUUCCAGUUAAAUUUAUGUCCAAAAGAAAUGAACGUCACAGAUAGCAUUCUCUUUAAAAAAAGUAAAUAGUAUGCUAUAUUUUUGGAUUCAAAUGCAAAAUUUCAAUCAAUGUAUCUGUAAAGUAAUUAUCAAUUGAAUUUUAAUGCAAUUUUGCAUCUAUUAGUGGAGAGUUUCAUCCCCUGUGUUUAUUCAUUCUGUUACGGUAAAAAUCGAAAAAAUAAAGUUUGUCAAAUUUGAAAAAGAUUAAAAAAAAAAGUCGAGAAAGGAAGAAAAAAAUAUAAGCACAUAGAUAAUUUAUGUGAUUUGGCACUAUCUUAAGUCCACAGGCAAAAUAUAAUCAAAGCAAAAUACAAAAUAUGUCUCUCUAAAAAUAAAUCUUAGCUCCAAAAUAAACUCUACACUCUUGAAUUUACAGAUUUUUUUUUUCCUAUUCAAUUUCCACUGUUAAGAAGCUCAUUUAGAAUUUUCAUUAGACCAUUCAUUGUCACUUUUCCUACCUAAUUAAAACAUUAACAACUGUCAAAUUUAGCUUAGCAUUGCUAUGUGGAUCGAUAUCUUUUUAAUUCAGUAAAAAAAAAAAAACAAACAACAAUUAAUAGAUAAAGAGUAUGUAACAAUUAAAAUCACUCGCAUCUUAAGACACACUCAAAUAUUACAUAUAUAUAUAUAUCCACAAUAAAUAAAAUUUUCUUUCGUAGAACAGUGCAAAUUUAUCUUAUUCGGGCAUUUAAACAGUUGGGGAUGCAUCGUAUGGCUCACGAAUAUAAAAGCAUUAUUAGCCUCGUCGAUGAUAAGCUAAUUAAUUAAACACGUUUGUUGUUUUCGAUCCUCUACGUAAGCUAUUACGCCAUCGGCACACGCACACGCACACGCCACGCUUUAUACAAUGCGACACGCACUUCUCUCCACUCUUAGUCAACAACAACAACAACAAUCUAUGAAAUAUAAAAUUUGAGGGUUAAGUCACACCAACAAAUCCAAUCUUUAGAAAAUCACGUCCUCCCUUAAAACAACACCCGCUACUGGAAAUUAUCACGUGCCUAAUAAAUAUUUCGAUGUGCUCAUUUUAUUGUAAACUAACUCUAAAAUGCGUAUCAAAAAUAAAAUUAUGAUACUAUAUAUAAUAAAUUAUUUAAAUAUUUUAUACCAUAUAUAUUAUAUCAUAUUAUUUUACACUAUUAAUUACUAAAUACUCUAUAACUUAUAUAAUGUUCUAGACGGUGUAUAAAAAAAUUAAUACACACUAUAUGCAGCAAAGAUUUGUUCUCUCUUUUGAAAUUAUAUGUGCAUUAACUAAGCAUUCUAUGCAUCGGCUACUUAGACUAUAUACUCAACAUCCUUCGGUAGAGAUUUUAAAAUUAAUUCGUUAAAUAUAGUUUCUUUCUUUUCAAUUAAUUUUAUCAAGGUAAAGACACUCUCACUUAUUCUUCAAUAGGAAAUAAGCCCGUAAAUAUUAACUUUUUAUUUAAAAAAAUUUAUUUAUAGAAUAGUCAACAAGACUAUAAAAUUUGAUUAAAAUUUUAAAUAAAAUUAUUAGAAUAAUUCAACUUUAUAAAUAUUGAAAGGUAAGAAAACAGUGAUUAAAGAAAAAACCUAUUUUGUAUAAUAUACAUAAGAAUAUUUCAUGGACUUUUUUUUUAAUUUAAUAUUUUAUUUAUAAAAUUUUAUUAACUAUAUAUAUUUUAAUUAGUUGAAAUAUUAUUCUUUACUAGGAGUUGAGCUAGAAUACUCUUAAAAAUAUCAGGGGGUUGGUACUUUUGAGCUUUUAGCCAUUGGAUGAAGAGAUGUAAGAUUGAAAUGAUGGUGGUAGGUGGAAUAAUGUUUGAUCUAAAAAUUAUUAAUAAUUAAGGAGUAGAUUCAAUGGCUAGAAACUUAAAAGCACCAAAAAAUUAUUAUUUUUAAGUGUAUUUUAGCUUAAUUCCCUUUACUAGUGUACACUAUCACAAUGGAAACGUAUACUGAUUACUUGCUGUUCUUUUUUUUUUUUUUUAAUAAAAAGAAAAAAACAUGUUUGUUGUUUUUGAUCCUUUACGUAAGCUAUGACACCGUCGGACGCCACGCGCUUUAUGUAUAUAUCUAUAUCUAUAGUCUAUAGUAUAUAUGAAUCCUCAGUUUUGAACACGUGGCGAGCGCGGAGGCGCGGGCAGGGGCGAGCGCGGGGCGCGGGCAAGCGAGCGCGCCUGGCGGGGCGCCGUGUGGCACGGGCGCGCGGGGCGCGGGCAGGGGGGCACGGGGGGAGGGGCGCCGCGUAUAUAUAAAGCGCGCCACGCACUUCUCUCCCCUCUCCUCAUUACAGUAGAUUCACAACUCGCUAUCACUUAUAUCUACUCAACAACAACAAUCACAAUGGAAACGUUUACUAAUUAUCUCUCGCUCCUUGUUGCUGUUCUGCUCAUUCUCAUCAUCAAAUUUUCGUUUGCUUCGGGGAAAAACAAUAACAAGAAGCUGCCGCCGAGCCCGCCGUCGCUGCCGAUCAUCGGCCACCUCCACCUCGUGAAGCAUCCCCUCCACCGCGGGCUCGCGGCGAUCUCGGCCCGCUACGGCCCCGUACUCCUGCUGCGCUUCGGUUCCCGCCGAGUGCUCGUCGUGUCCUCCCGCGCCGCGGCCGAGCAAUGCUUCAGCGCCAACAACGACGUCGCCUUCGCCAACCGGCCCCAGCUCCCCUCGCUGAAGCUCUUGACCAACGGAUUCACGACCCUCGGCUUCGCCAAUUACGGGCCGCUGUGGCGCAACCUCCGCCGCAUCGCCGCGGGUGAGGUCCUCUCUGCCCACCGCCUCACCGCCUCCGCCGCUUCCCGCGCCGAGGAGGUGCGGGGAUUAGUGAAGAGGAUGUUCUUGGAUUGGAAAGCCCAAAAUAAGGUACUAGCUACUGCAAAUUUUUCUUAGUCUUUUUUUUGCAAACCUCUGUUAUUUUGCUUAUCCGCCCUUCUGAGGUUUUAGCUACUCCACCUUAUGUAGCUAAAUAUAUUUUCUUUUUUUCAAAAGUAGCAUGCUAUUUUUUUUCUAAAAAAAAAGCUACUUCAAACUUUUACAACCAGACAUAUUGAAUCUAAGAGAUGUGAAUGGCCUAUCACUGCUCGCCAACGGGAGUGAGAGGCAGUUCAACUGCAUCUAUCUAUGGCCCCAGACAGAUUAGCAAUAAUUGCUAGGUGCUGAAAAUAAAUAAUUGAGACCAUCCUUAUCCGGACAAAAAUUUUGAGGGCACCGUUUCCAAACUAAUAGUUUGGGGACGACGUGGAUGGUCACGUGGUGGAUCCGACGACUGUCCUUUCCUGCUUUUUUUUUUUUUGUCUUUCUAAAAAUAUAGAGUAAUUUUUUUUUUUUCCUUUCUAUCGGUGGCCGUCGGAUGGACCACAUGGCGCCCAUCCACAUAAUCCCUAAAUUAAUUAUAAGGAGACUAUGCCUAUAAAAUUUUUGUCCUCUUUAUUCUUGUAGCUUAAAUUUUUAUAAAAAAAUAAAUUAUUAUUUAAUAUAGUGUGAGAACUAAAGUUUUAGUUUUAUUUAAUUUCUACUCUUAUUUAAUUAUUUGAUGUAGUUCAAUAAAUUUGAAUGUUAAAAAAUAGACUAAAUUGCGUGGAAAACUUUGGUCCCCAAAUUCUAGUUUUCUACAUAUUUUAUUCAGAAUUUUUAAAUUAUUAAUUAUAAUUAAGUUUUAUGAUCUAAUUUAGUUGGUUAAAUAAUAGUAUAAUGCUAAUGUGGUAGUAAUAUAAUAAUGUUGUCAUGGCUUGCUAAAGUGAUAAUGACUAAGGUACCGAUUGCUAUCAUAUUAGUAAAACAUUAGCACAUGCAUGCCAAAUCAAUUAAAUUAUAUUAUAGCAUUUAAUUGUAAUAAUAAUUAAAAACAACGAGAAAAUUAUAAAAAGUUAAUUUUCGACCAUCAAAGUGGCACGCGUCUCAGAGUUUGCGGAUCAGAAGUGCAAUUUUCCCUACAAAAUACCUUCCAAAAGCAAUCCAUUUUUAAAGGAUUGCAUCUUGAGCCUGAAAAUUCUAAUUUCGAUUGUUCACAAUUAGUCAUAUACAUACCACCAUUUAUAAUUAUCGCAGGUCAUCGCUUUAUGUAAUUUUUCAAUUUAAUUACGAUUCAUUUUUGUUCUAUUAUAUCUCUAAUAUUAAUUUGUGUGUAUCGAACACCUUUUAUUACGGUAAAUCUCUGAUAGGAUAAUGAGACUUGGUUCACCAAAGUGGACAUGAAGACGUGGCUGUUCGACCUAGCGCUGAAUGUGAUGUUGAGGAUGAUAGCAGGGGAGAGAUACACCCACACAAACCGCGGCGAGGGCGCCGCGGGGUCGGACACGGCGAAGCGCUUCAGGGCGAUGGUCGAAGAGACCUUCUUGGUGUUGGAUUCGACCUCGAAUUUGGGCGAUUUCGUUCCCAUCUUCAGGUGGUUGGAUAUCGGCGGGGCCGAGAAAAGGAUGAGGAGAGUGGUGAAGGAGAGAGGCGAGCUGAGCCAGGCGAUGGUGGACGAGAAGAGAAGAGAGAGCGGGGAGGAGGAGAAGGAGAAAACUAUGAUCGGAGAUCUGCUAUCUUCCCAGAUGCAGGAUCCUGAUUUCUACUCCGAUGACAAUAUCAAGCGACUUGCUGUCGUGAGUAUCUUAAUUAGGUUUAUAUAUAUAUCUGUCGCAUGUAUGUAGUUGGACCGUACGUCCACUAUAUAUAUAUAUAUUGAAUCGCUAACAAUAUUGCUUCAUAUAUAUUUUGUCCUCGUGGAAGAGUUUAUUAUCGGCGGGAACAGAUACCACCUCCAAUACUCUCGAGUGGGCCAUGUCGCUCCUCCUCAACAACCCUGAAGCCCUGAGAAAAGCCGCGGCGGAGAUCGACGCUCGCGUGGGCACCGACCGCUUAGUGGAGGAGUCGGACGUCGCGAACCUCCCCUAUCUCCGCUGCGUCGUCACCGAGACUCUCCGCCUCUACCCCGGCGGGCCCCUCCUCGUCCCCCACGAAUCCGCAACGGAGCUAACCAUCGCAAACUACGUCGUGCCGCAAGGCACAAUGCUACUGGUCAAUGCCUACGCCAUACACAGAGAUCCUGCCGUAUGGCGGGGGGCCNUUCAAGCCGGAGAGGUUUGAAAUUGGGAAGGAAGAGAAGGGGUGGAUGAUUCCGUUCGGGAUGGGGCGGCGACGGUGCCCCGGGGAGGGCCUCGCGACGCGGGAGGCGUCGCUGGCGCUCGCGACGAUGAUCCAGUGCUUCGAGUGGAGGAGAACUGGAGAAGAAGAGGUCGACAUGACUGAAGGAAUGGGGCUUACACUGCCUAAGGCGUCGCCUCUCGAAGCCUUGGUUCGACCGCGUGAGCACAUGAUCCAUUUGCUUUCGAAGAUCUAAAUUCCUUACGAGAUCGAUGUGCUUAUGUUUACGAUGUACGUAUUAAAAAUAAAAGUAUUUUAGCGCAACUAUAUAUUUUAGUAAUAAUUAGUAUGCUGCUGUGUUGUCUGUAUGCAGAUGUUGUAACACAGUUUGUGAGAUCUAACUUUAUAUUAUGUAAUCCACCGUUGCUGCGUGCAUAAAUAAUAAUCUUUUAUAUAUACACUGCUUAGUCGUUUAAAUAAUAGAACAUAGAUUACAUCAUUCUAUUGUUCAUUUUUCAACAAUUUUAUUUUGAAAUUUAACCAAAAAAAAAAAAAAUCUUUGUAGUUUGAUAUAUAUCGAGUUCCAUUACAUAUCGUUCGAGCACUUUAAUUUUAACCGUUUUAUCUUUGUGUCGUGCAGCAAUAUAAGUCAUUCUAGGGGAUUACUUGAUGCUAAAUAUGAUGUUGCGAUAGCAUGCAUCAUCAUUAAAAUUUAGUGAAACUAUAUUUUUUUUUAGCAAUUUUAAUAAUUGAAUUGGAAUAAAGAAUCUCAAAUAAUUCAAUAUGAUUAAAUAUAAAGAUUUGAAUUUGUAAAUAAAUAAUUCUUUUAACAUUCUCAUUUGUCAUUCAAGAGAAGAUGAGAUAGAUUGAAUAGCCAAAAAAAAUUGCAAAACAAUAAUCGUUCGUAGUUAAAUUUUUGAUAAAAUUAUAUUCCCAUUCGUAUUCUUAUUUGCUACCUCCAUGGGAUCCCACAAAGGUAACUGUGGAUCUGCCAUUGUAUGUCACAUGCUAGGCUACAAAUGUGGCAACAAAUCCAACUCCAACCUUCAAUUUUCGUCCUUGAUGUGUGUGGACAUGGAAAUGUACAAAUGGAAAGGAUGAAAAAGAAGUAAUAAAUAUGACGUGCUAAUUUAUAAUGACGUGGUGCGACAGUUAUGCCUAUAUACAUAUUUAAAAAAUAGAUAUAAUUUUACUUAUACUGUCUAUUUAAAAAACUAUAUUUCUAUGCUAGUCAUGCUAAAUAUUUUUAAAAUAUUAAUAAAUAAUAAAUUUUAAAUAGAUAAAUAUAAAAUUUAUAUUUUAUUUUUGACUUAUAAAUAACACUUUUUACAUAAAUUAGGAAAGAGCUAUGCUAUACUAUCGAACACAAAAGGCAUAUAAAACGUUUUUUUUUAAGAAAUAGUGCGCGUUCGUUCGUUUUAUUCGACAGGUUAGGUAUCCAUCCUUUCAAUAAAAGGCAUAUAAAACGUGUUACUUGUUUCCUCGCACUGUAGCAAGCAUGGAUCCAUCCGUUUUAGAUAAAAGUAGUGACCACUGCACGAAGGCACUGCAUUCGCUCCAUACUCGCAGUGGUGGAAAGGUGUGGUUCGGUAUCGCGAAGUGUUUAAAUGUGGCAUUUCCUAUGACAUUGGUAAUGGUAGCAACGUCAGUCUCUGGACGGACAUCUGGGUGGAGGAAACUCCGCUGAGCACAGUGUUCCCAGGAAUUUUUGCUUCGAUCAGGAACAAGGGGGCGCGCAUUUCCCAAUGCUGGAACUCACAUGGAUGGAGAUGGCGCUUCAUUUGUAGAGGUUACGUGGCUUCCGCCUCGUCCGAAAAUAGAAGACAAAUGGGGCUGCUGAAGGACCUACUACUCCACCACAUCCCAAGAAGUGGACUUGACUCGCUUAAAUGGAGAUGGACCUCACAUCAAAAGUUCACUGUUAACUCCCUAUAUAAAUUCAUCACUUAUGCAGGCCAAUCGGACCCAAUCAAUCAGCAGCUAUGGAAACUAAAAAUCCCCGUCAAAAUCAAAAUAUUCGUCUGGUUGCUACUUCGCAAGAGGUUGCUCACGGCUGAUAGACUCAUCAAUCGUGGGAUUCAAGCUGAACCCUAUUGCGUCUUCUGUGCUUUUUCCCACGAGUGUUGCGAUCACCUUUUUAGCGAUUGCGUCUUCGCACGCUUUCUCCUACUCCGUCUGACUGGGAUAUCCAGCGGUGUCCCGACUGUGGACGUUCGAGAUCGCUGGAACUCUCUAUCUCUUACCCCGGAUGCCAUCGCAAGAGCUAAAGGAUUAACCAAGCUAGCGGCCACCUGGUGGGUUAUCUGGACCGAGCGAAACAGCUUUGUCUUCUCUUCGACACUUCCGAACGUUGUUAGAGCUUUAGAUAGAGGCUCAUCCCUGUCCAACUCCUGGAUCUCGCUUCUGUAAUCGCGCAACGUCGCCUUUUACUGUAUUCCCCCUCUCUCCCCCUGCUCCUCUUCUCGCCCUGUUUUGUCUCUUUUUUUCCUUUAAUGUACCUCCCCUAUGUUCUUUCUAAAGGAAGCCUAAGCUGCUUCCACCUUGUACGCUUAGUUCAUUGCUCUUAGUGAAUGAAGCAGGUAGCGUGCUACCUUUCUCUCAAAAAAAAAAAAAAAAAAAAAAAAAAAAAAAAAAAAAAAGAUAAAAGUAAUGACCCCACGCAAUUAUGGAUCACUUUGAAGCAGUGUCCUCGAAUUCUUUAUUUAUUAUUCUCAAUUGUAAUAUCCUAAUUUAAAUUAUUUUAUUGGUUAAAUGAGGAAUUUUGUUGCAUUCCAUUAACUGUUAAUCAUUAAUUACUAUAUUUUUAUUUAUUAAAAAUAAUUAAAACUAUUAAAUUUAACAAUAGUACCACUUUUUAAUUUUAUCGACUAGAGUCGAACUAAUUUAUAGAGUGUGUAGUGUGGGUUUUAUAUAUAUAUAUAUAUAUAUAUAUAUAUAUAUAUAUAUAUAGCUAGGCUGGUAUACUAUCGGUAGCACGGAGGUCUCCAUACUACUAAGUUGUUUUUUAAGUUGUUUUCAAUAUUGUGGUUUCCAAAUUGGCGAUCGGCUCUGUUAGACUUGAUCUACACUAUUAAAAGUAUUUGAAAACUAAAUUUUAUAAUUUUUCGGCAUUAUUUACCAAUCAAACAAGUAGUUUAAAAAUAAACUGUUGAAAAUAAAAAUCUUAUGAAAAUGAUGAUAAAAUACUUGAAUUUAAGAUCAGAGGUACUGAUCUUACUCUAAAUAGUGAAAACAAUAUUCUAUAAAAAUUUUAUCAGAUUUGGAUUGUUUUACGUCGUUAAAUUUACAAACGUAUCACAUCUAUUAAUUGUCAAUUUUGAAAUUUUUGAUUACUAGCCAAAUGAUGUUGAAAAAUUAUAAAAUUUAGUUUUCAAAUAAUUUUAAUAGUGUAGAUCAUGUCUAACGGAGCCGAUCGUUGAUUUGAAAGCCGCAUCAUUUGGUAUACACCACGCUGGUCCUCCUCCUCCGCCUCGGCUCCCGCCCGGUGCUCGUGGUCGCGUCGCGCUGUCAGGGCCCUUUUUAGUUGUCAACGGUCCUGACCUUGUCAAUAACAUUGAGUUUGUAAUGAGUCUGUAAAUGUUGUGUCGGGCAAGACUUCGACAUAGGAUUUUUCUUAUUUUGGAUGGGCAUUACAUGUAAAUUGGCAUCCGGUUGGCUACCCGCGGGUUCACUUGUGCUACACAUCCAAGGGGAUAUAGGUUUCGCUAACGAUGGCCGCUUAUGCGACGGAUUGAGCCGGACGCGUGUCGGACAUGGGUCGGCGGCCUAUUUUUCCAUGGAUGUGCGGAGUGGGAAAACGUACCCCUCGGUGAGCACCUUUGUACCCCGGGGUGCCAAAUGGGUGGAUGCUAAUAUAGGGUAGUACGGGAAGGUUGGGUGAGACGUAUUAAGUGAGCCCGCUUCGCUAAAAGCGUAGUGUCUUGGUGAUCAUUUUGCCCUCACCGGCCAUGCCCGACCAAGUCGAGUCUUGUGCCUUUCGCUUGUAGUCCAACUUUUCGUUAUCAAUAAAAUACUCGUUGUUUGUACCAAUUUGCAGGAUCCCUUUACGUGCUUUCUCUUAUUUCUCGGUCGUUGCCAAUUUGCGAAGUUGUGCCUCGGGACGGUUUGGCUUGGCUGGCUCGUUCUGUGCAGGUGACAGACGAGCGCCGCGCGGGCUUUUCGACAAAAAGUCAUUAGACCCGUGACAGCGCGGCGAGGCGGAGCAGUGCUUCAGCGCGGCGACCGACGUGGCCUUCGCGAACCGGCCACUGCUCCCGUCGAUGAAGUACCUCACCCACGACUACACUACGCUGGCGUUCGCCAGCCGAGGUGCUCUCGACGCACCGCCUCACGGCGUGCGCCGCGUUCCGCACCGAGGAGGUGCGGGGGAUGGCCCGGAGGAUCUUCUCCGAUUGGAACGCCGACAAGGUACGUACGCACGCACCUGCAUGCCUAGCUAGCUACGUGCAUUUUUUUUUUAUCACGUACUUUGCUCUUGGAUGCAUGCAUGGUUUGUUGGUUUAAUUAGUUUUCUAUAAGAAUAAGAAUUAAUUAAUUCGUGAUUAAGUGUAAGAAUUUUGCUGCUUUUUUAGAUAACAGGUCCUAAUUAUUUAUAGAAAACUAAUGUAGACUUUUCAGAAAAACAAAAUAUUACACUUAAUUUGAAUUAUAAUAAGAUAGAAAAUUAUAUAUAUGCUAAAUAACAAGGGGAUUUUUUUAAAUUUUCCACUAAAUAGUCAUAGAUUUAGUGUACGUCAAAAAACCAUUUCAUUUUCUCCGUCUCACCUUCUUGUUAUUACUAAUCUUCUUUAUUCUACAUGCAUAUAUGCAUAUAUUUGUAAUAUUUAUGCUUAUUGAUCUCUUUUCAAUCCUACUAACUAAUUAUACAUAAGUAAUUAGUAAAAUCUCAUAAAAAUUAAGGGUAAAAUUUAAUAAAAAUAUAAAUAAUUUUAAUUUGAGUAAGCGUUGUUCGGCCGCACCACGUGUCUCAAAUUCCCACUUUUUUUGUAGUUGCACAUGAAAACAGCUCAGUACACUCGUAGUAAUCGUAAUACACCAUACAGUGUCCAAUAUAUAGCCUAUUGUAAACACAGAUCUAAUCGUGAGUCGUGACAGGGUUGAAUGAACUUACCGAGUUAAGAAACGUUUAAGAAAACGGGCCAGUUAAGUAUAAGAAAGAUGGGAUCCCAAAAGGGUGGGCCCAAAAGGGUACGGCCGACCACUCCUUGCUCCGGUGGGGCCCACCCUUUUUUUUUUUCAACCCCUCUCUCUCUCUCUCUCUCUCUCUCUCUCUCUCUCUCUCUCUCUCUCUCUCUCUCUCUCUCUCUCUCUCNAUAACAAUAUUAAAAUUUUAUACGGGAUAAGAAAAGUUGUACACCGAGUAUAUAUAAGAUAAGCUCAUAGAUAAUCUAUAAUUUGAAUUCUUUUUUGUUUUUAUUUACACCACGUGUAAAAUUUUAGCACAUGGACCAACUCUAUUUUUAAUAGCGGAUAUAACAAAAUUAAAAUUUCAUACCAUGUAGAAAAAAUUGUACACCGAAUGUAUAAGACAUGCUCAUAUAUAAUUUAUAAUUAAUAAAAAGGAUAAACUUCAAAUACCAUCUAUGUGGUUUUGCAUUUUUUUCACUUUAGUACCAUAGAGUUUAAAGUGUAUCAAGUUAAUAUCUAGUGGUUUCAUUUUCUCUUUUCGUCGGCUCUCCCGUUAAUAUUUCGUUAAAUUAUGUACAAAAAAACUUCAGAUACACCACUUAGGUUUAUUGAAUAUUCAUUUUAGUACCCUUUAGUUUUAACUUUGUUACUGAUUUAACGAAAAAAUAAUAGUGGAUUAAAUAAUACAAAGAGAAAAAUAAAAUCAUAGUGGUGUAUUAUAUGAAUUGAAAUUUUUUUAAAAAAGCUAUUUAAUAGAAGGUUAUUGGAAGGGGUUGAAGUGUUGGCGGGGUCUACCCAAUUUCCCCACUCGGCACUCUCUCAUUACUUUUUCUUUUCCUUUUUUUUUUCUUUGGCGUGCGCUACAUUUAAAAAUACUUGCAUGAACAAAAAAAUAUUUUUUAAUAAUUAAUAUGGUAAAAUUAAAUUUAACAUGAUAAAAUAUAUAAUAUAUAAAAAGUCUAGAUACAAAAAUUACUGAAUUUUUAUUUUAAAAUAAAAUUUUAUAAAUAUAGUGUAAAAAAAAGUUAAAUAUCCGGUUGACUUAUUUUUUAUAAAUAGGCAAUUGUUGUAAACCUUUUAUUUUUUAGUAGUACGCUAUUUUGUAUUUUCUUGUUAUUUUAAUUCGGCAAUACGUUAUAUAAUUUUAAUUUUAUUUAGUAUUGUAAAAUUUUUUAAAUGAAUGUGCUUUAUAUAAAAUUAAUGUAAAAUAUUAUAUUAUUAUAUAUUUUUAUAUACUUAUAAAAUUAUGCAUAUUUUUUAAAAAUAAAUAUUUUAAAAAAUAACUGAAAUUUCUUUUUUCGGCGGCAUCCGGCGGCUGGCACUUAGCUAUAUAUAGGGCACACGAAUAUCUAUAACUCUAUAUGAAUCCCCAAUAAAAAUGAUGACAUGGCAAGCUCUCCUAUUUUUAGAUUUUUUAGAUUUUUUAAUGGUGGUUUAUUCUCUGAAUUUAUUGUUAAUUAAAAUGUUACUCCAUGCAUAUAACAUAACAGAAAUAAAACUAAAUGAAUCCCUAAAACUACUACCUCCUCAUCUCUCAAACUGCUCCCUUCUCACCUUCCAACCCCCGAGAUUCCUCAUCUUCCAAAACCCCUCCCUCCUCAUCUCCCAAAUACAGAAUAGUGGUAUGCAUGUAAUAAAAGCCAUGACCUCUUAGUUACCAAACUCCCAAAUAAAUAGUGCUAUGCAUGUAAUAAUUAAAAGCCAAGACCUCUUAGUUACUAAAGCUUCAUCGAUAGCCUAAAAGAGGAUAGAAAGUUUUGCUUUAGAAAGUGAGUCUUUUUACUAUUAUCAUAGCCAAUAGCAUUCCGAAAUUCCUGUUCUUUCCUCUUGGGAAAAGCUCUUCCUUAUUUUAUUUAUUUAUAUAAAAGAAAAGAGACUGUUCUUGGUCUAAGGCCCUUCUUUGUCCUCUUUCGAGAAGAUCAUAGAUAAUAUUGGGGGGUUUUUUUCGAUACGAAAUGACAAAAUGGAAGUCGUCGAAUGGGACUUUCGAAUUGUCUAAUUGAAGCUGCUAAUGCGGAUUCCUCUCCUUCUAUGUGGGAUGAAUAUGUAUUAUUUCUCUCUCUUUUUUUUUAUUGCAUAUUACUGUUCAUGAAUUAGUCAUUUGAGUUAUACAAAAAUUGAUGGAGUAAAAUUAUAAAAAAAAAAAACGGAUUAAAUUAGCAUUUACAUCAACAAACUAACAUAGUAUAUAGAUUGUUGGCUUAUAGAUAUAUGAAAAGUAGGCUUUUACAAUUUAACGGUAGUUAAAAACUAACUAUUAUUAUUUUUAAAUUUAUUUGUAUGACUAUCAUAUAUUCCUUCAUACUUUUUAUUUUAUUUCUUUACAUUUCGUACUAAUUUUUUGAUGGCAUGACAAUUUGAACGUCUAUAGACAAAUGCAAUAAUAAUUGGCUUUUAAGAUAAAUCUAAUUUGAAUUAAAAAAGAUGAUAAGAUAGAUAAAUAUCUUUAUAUGAUUAGUUAAAUAUGAAUUUGAGCCUUUUUAGUUUUUCUUUCAUUAUUUAUUACUUUUCAUAAUAUUUUAAAUAUUUUUUCUAUUUUUUUUAAUAUUUUUAUUUAUUUGUUAAAUUUGUAGACUGUAAAUUUUUACUAAAAUGUUUUUAUCCGUCGCAUCGCGCGGAUUCCUAUGCUAGUUUAUAAUAUAAAAGCAUUAUUAGCCUUGUCGAUGAUACGCUCAUUAAACACGUGUGUUGUUUUCGAUCCUUUACGUAAGCUAUUACGCCAUCACACGCCACGCUUUAUAUACAGCGCCCUACUCUCCUCAUUAACAACUCACACUCAGUGUACGUACUCAACAACAACAACAACAAUCACAAUGGAAACGUUUACUAGUUAUCUCUCGCUCAGUAUUGCUGUUCUGCUCAUUCUCAUCAUCAAAUUUUCCUUCGCUUCGGCGAAAAACAAUAACAAGAAGCUGCCGCCGAGCCCGCCGUCGCUGCCGAUCAUCGGCCACCUCCACCUAGUGAAGCGUCCCCUCCACCACGGGCUCGCGACGAUCUCGGUCCGCUACGGCCCCGUGCUCCUGCUGCGCUUCGGCUCGCGCCGAGUGCUCGUCGUGUCCUCGCGCGCGGCGGCUGAGGAAUGCUUCAGCACCGACAACGACGUCGCCUUCGCCAACCGGCCCCGGGUCCCCUCGCUGAAGCUCUUUACCAACGGAUUCACGCUUCUCCCCUUCGCCAAUUACGGGCCCCUGUGGCGCAACCUCCGCCGCAUCGCCACGGGCGAGGUCCUCUCCGCCCACCGCCUCACCGCCUCCGCUGCUUCCCGCGCCGAGGAGUUGCGGGGAUUGGUGAAGAGGAUGUUCUUGGAUUGGAAAGCCCAAAAUAAGGUACUAGACAUAUUGAAUCUAAGAGAUGUGAAUGGCCCAUCACUGCUCGCCAACGGGAGUGAGAGGCAGUUCAACUGCAUCUAUCUAUGGCCCCAGACACAUUAGCAAUAAUUGCUAGGUGCUACCAGCCAUCCCUAGAGCAAGUGGCAAAAAGUUUGGUGGUUGAUACCUGAGAUCCAAGUUCGAAUCCUAAUUGAUUCAUAUUUUUAGCUAAGUUUAUUUCUAAAUGAAAUAAACGAAGCGGAUAGUGUGCUAUCUAUCUCUCAAAAAAAAAAAUAAUCGCUAGAUGCUGAAAAUAAAUAAUUGACACAAUCCUUAUCCUGAUAGCUUAAAAUUUUCUUUUAAUAAAACUUAUGUCCUAUGUAUAUUUUUUUCCAACUCCUUGGCCAUUUUCCGUCAGCUCUUGUGGUCUUACUUUUUCUUGAGCAUAUUGUAGUUACACUUAUUAGCAAUAAGUGGUCGGUGAAUCUGACAAUUUUUUUUCUUACUAUUAGGUCAUAUUUUUUAUUAUCAAAUUUAAAUCUUAGCCCUCCCGAAUCUUAAUUCCUAGCUUCGUCCCUGUGCAUGCCCCCUCUCUUGAGAAUAAUAAGAGCUAAUUGCAGAAAUAUGAUUUGUUUUUUAUUAUUCAAUAUAUAUAGAGAGAGAGAGUUAAACUGGAAUACUAUCAAUAGCAAACAGACUCCGAGACCAUCUAUUUGUUUUCGAUGAUGGAGCCUCCAAAUUAACGAUCAGUACUAUUGAACAUGAUCUAUAUCAUUUGAAAUAUUUAUAAACUAAAAUUUAAAUUUUUUCGACAUUAUUGGUCUAAUGAUUAAAAUGUUUCAAAUUUUGUCGCUUAACAGUGUAAAAAUAUCCAAAUUAAUUGAAUAUUGGUUUAAAAAUUUUUUAAACUGUGUAGAAUAAGAUCUAUACUCUUGAUAUUAAUUACAAGACUCAUAUCAUCACUUUUUAAAGAAUAUUUAUAUUUAGCCGUUUAUUUUUGUGUCCACUUGAUGGACAAGAGAAAGACAUCGAAAAAUAUAAAUUUUGAUUUUUAGAUACUUCAAAUGGUAUAGAUCAUAUUUAUCAAUACGGAUCAUCAACUUGGAGACUCUAUCACUGAAAACUAAUUGAUAGUAACGGAGCUCGUUUGCUAGUAAUAACAUUCUAGCUCAACUAUAUAUAUAUAUAUAUAUAUAUAAAAGCACGUAUUUCAAAUUUUGGUAUGUGGACAGACCCAUUUUUUGGCAGGAAAAAAAAUGAUUUAUCUUUCCUUACGUAAAACAAAUAACGUAAUGAAACAAAUUUUUAAUUUCUCUUUAUCUCUAAAAUAGAAAAAUAUAUACUUAUUCAAAUUUUUGCCAACCGAAAAUAUCUACUAUGAAUCUAUAUUUUAAUUUAUUUUUUAAAUUUCUUUUUCUCUCUAAAAUAGAAAAAAAAUUCAUGCUUAUCCAAAUUUCUGCCAAAAUAUUUUUUGUAAAUCUAUAUUUCAAUUCAAAAUUUAAAAUUAAUUUAAAAUUUUAAAUGUUGGGACUAUCAACAUAUUACAAUGGAAAUAAUUUAAUAGAUAGAUAGGUUGAUAAAUUUGUAAAUUACAUUUUUAAAUUAAUAUGACAUACAAAUUUAUGAUCAAUUUGUAAAAAAAUUAUCUCAGAUAAGAACAAACGGUUAUGAUCAAUUUGUUAAAAAAAAAAUUGGUAUCCAUCUAUAGUUUCAAUUUUACGAACGGUUAUGAUCAAUUGGUUAAAAAUAUUGAAAAUAAAAAUGAACUGUUAUGAUCAAUCUGUUAAAAAAUAGCACUUCUAUCUAUUUAUUUUAUAUUAAAAUUUAAAUUUGAGUUUAAAUAAUGAAUUUAAUUUAAUUUAAUUUUUAAUAUCAAAUCUAUUAAUUUAUUUUAUAUUAAAAUUUAAAUUUGAUAUUGUAGAUAUUUUCUAAUAAAAUAAUAUAUAAAUUUACAAAAUAUUUUAUUCUAAAUUUUUAAAUAAAUAUGAAUUAGAAAUUUUUAUUAAUUUAAAAUAAAUCAAAAUAAUUAUUACAUUACAUACAUUUGCAUGUACGCUUGCUCACAUCAUCCGUUAGAUUAUACUAUUCUACCAACAACUCACUCACCCUUAAAGUGCUCAUAUCAUCCUAACCGUACAUUACAUUCAUCCAAGGGCGAAAAACUUGGUAGCACCAAGUGCUUGGUGCUAUUAAUAAUAUUCCAGUUUAGUUCUACAUAUAUAUAUAUAUAUAUAUAUAUAUAUAUAUAUAUGCACAUACACACUAACGUCUUUUUUUAUAAAUUAUUAAUUAUCACUUUUUAGAUUAGAGAGAACAGUAACUGAUAAUUUUAGUAACAAAAUGAUUAACGAUUGAAUCAGCUUUAAAUAUUUAAUUACUUUGUUAGUGUGCUUAAAAUUUUCUCCGUUAUUACGAUGGGGGUCGACAUAUCAAUAGCUUCAAAAAAAGUUCUCAUGUGGUAUAGAUUAUUCUUUUAUUACUUUGCUCUCGGAUGGUUGUUGUUUUAGUUUUCUAUAUAUAAGAAAUAAUUCGUAAGUGAAAAGAUCGUAAAAAUUUUGCUGCUUUUUUCGACUAUAACAGGUGCUUAUUUAUAGAAAACGAAUGUAGAAUUUUCAGAAAAAGCAAAAUAUUUCACCUUGAACUACAAUAAGAUAUAGAGUAAGUUAGUUACAUGCUAAAUAAACAAGGCGAUUUUUAAAAAUUCUCCAAUGAAUUAAUAGUCAUAGAUCAUUUACUGCCAAAAAUCACUUCAUCUUCUCCAUCUCACCUUCCAGUUAUUAUUAAUCUUCUUUUAUUGUACAUACAUGCAUGCGUGCAUAUAAUUGCAAUAUUCAUGCUUAUUAUACAUGCAUGCAUGAAUAUAAUUAUACUAGGCUAGUAAUUAUUAUUAACUGUGAAAACAAUUAAUUAUUUUGGAUAUAGAGUGAUGAGUCGUCGUUCACCAAGGUGGAGAUGAAGUCGAGGUUGUUCGAUCUAGCACUGAAUGUGAUGAUGAGGAUGAUAGCAGGGCGAAAGUACACCUUCUCACAAGGCGAGGGAGUCGGAGGGUCGGAGGCCGCGAAGCGAUUCAGGAUGAUGGUGGAAGAGACCUUCUUGUUGAUCGAUUCGACUUCAAAUUUAGGAGACUCUCUACCCAUGCUAAGGUGGUUUGAUAUCGGAGGGGCCGAGAAAAGGAUGAGGAAAUUGCUGAAGGAGAGAGAAGAGCUGAGCCAGAAGAUUGUCGACGAGAAGAGGAGAGAAAGCGAGGAGGAGAUCAAGAAGGAGCAGACUAUGAUCGGAGAUCUGCUUGAGUCGCAGAAGCAAGAUCCUGAUUUCUAUACCGAUGAAACCAUCGAAGCACUUGCCUUCGUGAGUCUCGCUCCUCUUUUUUUUUCUUUUUUUUUUUCGUGUGUAUGUUAAAAUUUUUAAAAUGUAUGAUUCUGCUAAGUUUAAUUAUUCUGAAUAUAUAUAACUUUAUGUGAAACAGCAACUUGUAUUAACUACAUCACUCACAUACCGACGAAUUAAAUUCUCAAUUGAAGUUUUCUAAAGAUAAGCUAAAGUAAUUAAAUAUUAGAAAAAUAUUAGUUAGAAAAAAAUAAAUUUGGACGGUCUUUGGUAAUUAAAUGGACUGUAGGAGUUGAUACGUCGACAUAAACUUUUUGCUUCUCACUUUUGGUACGAACAUAGCCACACCAGCAGGAGUGGGAUGGAUCAACUUCAAUGAUGUGAUAGUCAUGGGCAAUAGUUUUACCAAUCAAAGUUGUUACUUAGGUGACCCACAAAAGUUCUUUUCUAAAUUAUUUCUUCCUGUAAAGAAAAAAUAUGGUGAACUAACUGGUCUUUACAUCAAUUGAUAUCUAGCAAUAAUAUAUAUUUACCAUAUUAUAUGCAUUAAUAUAUUAGUAAUUUUUAAAGAAAUUUUUACUAUUUAUAGCAAUACUCGAAAAAAAAAAAAAAAAAAAUUUAUAGCAAUACUCGAAAAAAAAAAAAAAAAAAACUACUUGUACACCCAUCCGUGAUUUGUGAGUUACACUUCAUUCAUCCAAUGAGUGAGGUGUUUCCACUAGCCACAGUGUUAAUUACUAGUUACAUUAAAUGACUGGUAAAAAUACCUCACCUAUUAGACGAGUGAGAUAUAAAAUAUACACCUCCCGAAUAGAAUGCACAUGUAGCAUUGCUCUAUAAAUUUUUGCUCCUGAUGCACCCAACUUAACAAGGCAUGAAUCAGUAAUAACCCUUAUAACUACUGCUUUUUGAAAGAGCUUGUUAGCAGGGGGAACGGAUACCACGUCGAACACCAUCGAGUGGACCAUGUCGCUCCUCCUCAACAAUCCUGAAGCCCUAAGAAAAGCGGCGACGGAGAUCGACGCUCGUGUGGGCACCGAUCACUUGGUGGAGGAGUCGGACAUCGCGAACCUCCCCUAUCUCCACUGCAUCAUCACCGAGGCUCUCCGCCUCUACCCAGGAGGGGCCCUCCUCAUUCCCCACGAAUCUGCGACGGAGCUAACCAUCGCAAACUACACCGUGCCGCAAGGCACCAUGCUACUGGUCAAUGCCUAUGCCAUCCACAGAGACCCCGCCGUAUGGCGCGAACCUACGAAGUUUAAGCCGGAGAGGUUUGAAGCUGGGAGAGAAGAGAAGGGGUGGAUGAUUCCGUUCGGGAUGGGGCGGCGACGGUGCCCCGGGGAGGGCCUCGCGACGCGGGAGGCGUCGCUGGCGCUUGCGACGAUGAUACAGUGUUUCGAGUGGAAGAGAGUCGGGGAGGAGGAGGUGGACAUGACUGAAGGAAUGGGGCUGACUCUGCCCAAGGCAUUGCCUCUGGAAGCACUGGUUCGGCCGCGCCGGAACAUGAUCGAUUUACUUUCCAAGCUCUAAAUGCAUAUCAUGAGUUGCAUUUCACAAAUGCAGGAAUAAAAGAAACUAUAAAUGUAAGCUAGUACCGCACCAGACCACUGGUUUGUAUGCGUAUGUUAAGGGGUGAACUUCCUAUGGCAUAUCUCUGGUAGUAGUAAGUUCAUUUAUGUAGUUUCCUAUGUAAAACUUUCAAGUUCAUUUUUCCUUUGUUUGACGCCUCUUCGACUUUUUAUUUGCUUUGACUUAAAACAAUUUAGUCACAACCUUGCUUCGAGAGGAAUUAGAUUAAUUUAACAAACAAAAAUCUUUUCAAACAUCAGUACCAUAUAAUCACAUUAAUUUGCCAGAUGACAAUCUGCGGAGAAUCCGUUAAACAACAGCAUAACGUUUCAAUGAGAAAUGUAGGAAGCCUAUCAUUAAAUCUAAAAGCCUACAGCAUCAUAACAGCUCACUAUAUUUUGAAAUCCACAACACAUACAGUGUUGUUAGAGAAACAUGCGGCAAUCUUAUCGCCUUCUUUGUUCCAGCACACUUCGAAGAUGCUGCCGCCGCCUCUGUAGGUCUUCAAUAUGUGCAGGCACUGGUCUAACGAUCUGCUCGCCAAGUACUCACCGUUGGGGCUAAACGCGACAGAAUAUACAGGUUGCCUGUAGUUGUAUUGUACAACAAGGAAAUUACCAUAAGAAUACAUGGGAGCACUACAAUGUAUCUAUGCCUAGGGUCAAUUACAAAUUCAGCCACUGAAGUUUGAUCAUGACUCCAUCGUAGUUCCAUUUCUAACAAUUUGGUCCCUAAAGUUUAUCCCGUGCAACGAUAAAGUUCUUUAAAUUAGAGCAAACGGUAACUAACUAUCGUGCUGGCAUGGCAUCUUUCUUCUGGCAGUAGAAUAAUAGAAGGACUAAAUUAUUUCACCGGACAAUUUGCAAUGACUAAAUCGUCAAAAUCGAUAUUCUUCUUCAAUGAAAUUGGUCUUUCUCAUUGUGAAUCGACUAUAUAUGAGAGUCGGUCGCAACAUACCGGUCACAACAUACCGGCCAAAUCUAAGCUCCAAUGAAUAUUGUAUUAAUUAAUCACUAUUAUUGGAUUCAACAGAAAAAUAAAAAAAGAACCACCCUUUUCUUUGUGGAUCUUAAGUUUGUUGGGAAUCCGGUACUCGCCCCGGUACCGGAUCUCGUAAAUCCGCAACCCGCUCCGAUACCGACUGCUGUGGAUCCGGUAUCGAUUGUUGGGAUUCCGCAACGGAAGCGUCGAAUCGGAUUUUUACCAUAAACCCGUCUCCUCAGCAGAUGCUGAUACAAUCAUAAAAGAGAAAAAUAUGCAGGUAAAAUAAGAUUCAUUAAAUAAGAGAAAAUUACACCUGACUCCUCUUCUGCACAGAAUAGCUACAACCCGAGCCCUCUCUCUGAAUCUCUCCUACCAUUCUCUCGUCUUCUAUACUCCCAGAAGACAUCUCUUUCAUCCUGUGCAUCCGUGCACAAGGUAUACUAAUGACCCACGGCUACGAAAGCCGCACACGUCCUCUUGCACCCAUGCACUAGGUGCAACCAAAAUCAUGACCAUAUUGGCCAUGCCAUAUGGGUGUGGCUAAUCCAUACCACCACCACCACCGAAACAAUAGCACAUAUGCUAUAUUUAUAGCUUACAUCAAAAGCUAUCCAAAUCCUAGUAUAAUUAAGAUUCCUACUCCGAUAAAUAUUUAUAUCUAUAUUUGUUUAUCUCUAAUAGAUUUAAAUAUUUAUCCUAAUCUAAUUAGAUUUAUACUCUAAUUAAUAUUUAAAUAUUAAUUUAUCUCCAACAGAUUUAAAUAUUAAUUCUUAUCUAAAUAGAAUUCAACUACAAAUCUAACCAAAUCCUAACAAAGUUUACUGCCAUGACCUUAAAGUAGGGCAGAGAAAGCACACUAAUGGCGAAAUGAAGUUACAAAUCAUGUACUUGUUCACAAGUUAUCACUAAUGAGACCACACCGGCCCAUAUUCUUAUGGGCCCAUUAAUUUCUUUGGGUUAAAAAAAGGAGUCACUUAGGCCUGAAUAUCUAGAUAUCCCUUCUAGUCCAUUCGCGCACUUAUGACAAAAGACCAGAUAGUUAGUACUAAAGGUUUUAGAUUUGAAAUCUAAUUAUUUAUAUUUUUAGUUAAAUUUAUUUCUAAAAGAAAUGGACGUCACAGAUAGCAUGCUCUUUAAAAAAGUAAAUAGUAUGCUAUAUUUUUGGAUUCAAAUGCAAAAUUUCAAUCAAUGUAUCUGUAAUGUAAUUAUCAGUUGAAUUUUAAUGCAAUUUUGCAUCUAUUAGUAGAGAGUUUCAUCCCGUGUGUUUAUUCAUUCUCUUACCUUAAAAAUCGAAAUUUAGUUUGUCAAAUUUGAAAAAGAUUAAAAAAAAAAAAGUGUCGAGAAAGGAAGAAAAAAAUACAUAGAUAAUUUACGUGAUUUGGCACUAUCUUAAGUCCACAGGCAAAAUAUAUAUAAUCAAAGUAAAAUACAAAAUGUCUCUCUAAAAAAAAAAUCUAGCUCCAAAAUAAACUCUACACUCUCUCUCAUCCUAAAAAGUCUAGAAUUAAUGCACCAAUUAUAUUGCUGAUAUGAUGUUCCCAACUAAUUAGAUUGCUUCUCUUGAAUUCAUUCGAUUAUCCCAUCAUGAUUAUUAGAAAAAUAUUUUUAUUAUACUUUUCUCUAAAAAAAAGAAAUGUAAUUAGUUAGUUAUUAAUGAUGUAACGUAAGUAUUACACAAUAGACUUCCUCCCCUCAUUCGCCACACUAGUAUACUACAGGAUAAAGUGUAUUUUUACGUAAUUAGUAAGAUCUCAUUAAAAUUAAGGGUAAAAUUUAAUAAAAAUGUAAAUAAUUCUAACUUGAUUAAGGCAUUGUUUGGCCACACUACACGGUCUUCUGAAGAAAGCUCUGAUUUGGAGCAUUAUGAAAUUCUUACUUUUUUUUGAGAGAGAUAGGUAGCAUGUUACCCACUUUGUUUAUUUCAUUUAAAAAUUAAAUUUAGCUGAAAAUAUGAAUCAAUUAGGAUUCGAAUUUGGGACCUCGGGUAUAAAACACCAAGUCCUUUGCGGCUUUGCCACUUGCUUUAGGGACGGUCGGUAAAUUCUCACUUUUUUAUAGUUGCACAAGAAAACACCUCAGUACUCGUAGAAAUCGUAAUAAACCAAACAUUGUGCAAUUUGUAGCGCAUUGUAAACACAGAUCUAACCUUGCCAGGACUGAACGAGUUAAGAAAUGUUUAAGAAAGCAGGCGAAUUAAGAAUAAGGAAGAUGGGAUCAAAUUUCGAAUUAUGAACUAUGAAGGCUGUGGCGAGGACUCACGUACGACACCAACUGCAGGGGAUAACAUUGACCGUAUACGUUGCAGCGGACACUCGUAAUAUUCAGAAGCUUUAAUUUCAGAUUCAAAGUUGAAUUUACAGAAUUUUUUGUCCUAUUUAAUUUCCACUGUUAAGAAGCUCAUUUAGAAUUUUCAUUAGACCAUUCAUUCACUUUUCCUACCUAAUAAUUAAAACAUUAACAACUGUCAACAAAGUUAGCUUAGCGUUGCUAUACGGAUCAAUAUCUUUUUAAUUCAGCAAAAAAAAGAAAAACAACAAUUAAUAGAUAAAGAGUAUGUAACAAUUAAAAUCACUCGCAUCUUAAGACACACUCAAAUGUUACAUAUAUAUCCACAAUAAAUAAAAUUUUCUUUCAUAGAACAGUACAAAUUUAUCUUACUCGGGCAUUUAAACAGCUGCGCAUGCAUCAUAUGGCUCACGAAUAUAAAAGCAUUAUUAGCCUCGUCGACGAUAAGCUAAUUAAUUACACACAUUUGUUGCUUUCGAUCCUUUACGUAAGCUCUUACGCCGUCACACGCCACGCUUUAUACAAUGCGCCACGCACUUCUCUCCACUCUACUCAACAACGACAAUAUACGCGGUGGAAACGUUUACUAAUUACCUCUCGCUCCUUAUUGCUGUUCUUCUUUUUUUCUUAAAAAAAGAAAAAAACAUGUUUGUUAUUUUCGAUCCUUACAUAAGCUAUUACGCAGUCGCACGCCACGUUUUAUAUAUAUAUAUGUAGACUUAUGAGAAGCCCUCUCCGGAUUUGGAGGGUUUUGUGGGGCACACCAUUUUUUUAAUUUAUUCUCUCUCCCUCUCUCUCUCUCUCUCCCACGCUCGCUUAGGGGUGGAAACGAGCCGAGCUCGAGCGAGCUUAUGUCAGCUCAAAUUCGGCUUGAAAUUAAUUUCGAGCCUAAAUCUAGGCUCAAGCUCGGCUUGAAAUUAAUUCGAGCCGAGCUCGAGCGAGCCUAAUUUCGAGUCGAGCCGAGCUCGAGCUCUAAACGAGCCUAUUGAAAUUCUUGACAUUAUAUAAUCAAUAGUUUAAUUUUUAUAUAACAUUACCUACAAUUUCAUGCAACAUGUUCAAUAGUUCAAAAUACAAAAUAAUUGCAAGAAAUGUGAGCUAGGGUGACUGCCUGACUGGGUGAGGGUCUGAGGGAGAAUGAGAGAGAGAGAGAGAGAGAGGGGAAAAAAAUUAGGGAUUUGAGAAUUUGAAUGUUAUCAUGUUUUAGGGUUAUGUGCAACAGUGAAAGUCUGAAAGAGAGAGUGUGUUAUGUAAAUUUAGAGUUGGGCUCAAUUGCAUGGUUGUACUUGUUGGGUUUAUUUUAUGGGCAAACAAUAAUAGUCCAAAUUAAAUUAAAGCCUAUAUAUAAUUAAAAUACAUUAUAUAUAUAUAUAUAUAUAUAUCGAGCUUUCGAGCUUUUCGAGCCUAAUUCGAACGAGCCGAGUAAUACUCAAGCUCGGCUUGAAAUGAAUUUCGAGCCUUUUAUUUUGUUCAAGCUCGGCUCAUUCAAUUUCGAGUCGAGCUCGAGCGAGCCGAAUAUCGAGCCGAACACGAGUCGAACGCGAGCCGGCUCGCUCGUUUGCCAGCCCUACGCUCGCUCACACACUCUCUCUCUCUCUCUCUCUCUCUCUCGUACUCUCUCUCUCACUCUCUUUCAUACACUAAUUUAUUUAGUAGGAUCCACAUCAAUUUUUAAAACAUUAAUUACACAUUAGGUCUCAAUCUUUUCAUUUUUUUUUAUUUUGGUCCCUAAUUUCCCAACUUUGCAUAUUUUUUACUUUACUCCCUAAACAAUUUUUUAUAAAUACACUA